CAUGGCAUUAGAUUUACAAGUAUCUUGGAUUUGUAUCUAUACUAUAUUUCCUUAUAAAAAGAGGCAUAUACUUAUAAAACUUUUAAAGGUACCUUGUGUAUUAUUGCAAGGAAUUAUCUUUUUAUUUAUUUCUUUCUAUUUAAGUAAUAAAUGAACUUAAUUUUAAAAGUGAAGUAGUACUAUAGAAUCGAAAUAGAAAUCAGUACUUUUCUGCCAUACCUAAGCCACACAUUAUCCCCGAGUCCAAUUUCUUGAGACAACAAUUUUCAACUCUUUAAGUAUUUUGUUACAAAUAUUUAUUAUCUAAUUCUAAAAUGAUGUGUUUUGGCACCACUUGGUUUUAAUUUAUUAAUACUUAAUUUAAUAAAUUAAUAAAUAAUAAAUUAUUAAUAAAUAAUAA
rnacentral:lncRNA from 1 species